AGUCCCUAAAAAGAAGUAGAUGAAACAAACACACAAAAAAACCAUGCUACUGAUUCAUGCAGAGAAAUGAAGAGAUCCUGAGCAAACGCAUGGGAAUUUUAAAGUGUCAUUAUAAAGAGAGAGGAGAUUCUUUUACAGGAAGUCCAGGGGAUUAGAAAAAAAACGUUAAGUGAUACCACGAGGAAACAAUCGCACAAAUCUAGAAGUUUGGACAUCGUACAAAACAACUGGCCCAGAGUUCUCAACAAGCCAAAGUCAUGUAAAGAAAGAAGGAGGGGGAAAGGGGUCUGUUUCAUAUUAAAAGAGACUUGAAAUCCGUAACAGCAAAAGGCAAUGUGUGUUCCUUGUCUGGAUCCUGAUUUGAAUAAACCAGAUAUAAAAGAAAGUUGGGGGAAAGUCGGGUAUUAGACGAUAAUAGAAAUUAUUGAAAAUUUGUUAGAUUUGUUACCUAGGAGAAUGUUUUUAUUUA